rnacentral:rRNA from 1 species
GGUUAAGCGACUAAGCGUACACGGUGGAUGCCCUGGCAGUCAGAGGCGAUGAAGGACGUGCUAAUCUGCGAUAAGCGUCGGUAAGGUGAUAUGAACCGUUAUAACCGGCGAUUUCCGAAUGGGGAAACCCAGUGUGUUUCGACACACUAUCAUUAACUGAAUCCAUAGGUUAAUGAGGCGAACCGGGGGAACUGAAACAUCUAAGUACCCCGAGGAAAAGAAAUCAACCGAGAUUCCCCCAGUAGCGGCGAGCGAACGGGGAGCAGCCCAGAGCCUGAAUCAGUGUGUGUGUUAGUGGAAGCGUCUGGAAAGGCGCGCGAUACAGGGUGACAGCCCCGUACACAAAAAUGCACAUGCUGUGAGCUCGAUGAGUAGGGCGGGACACGUGGUAUCCUGUCUGAAUAUGGGGGGACCAUCCUCCAAGGCUAAAUACUCCUGACUGACCGAUAGUGAACCAGUACCGUGAGGGAAAGGCGAAAAGAACCCCGGCGAGGGGAGUGAAAAAGAACCUGAAACCGUGUACGUACAAGCAGUGGGAGCACGCUUAGGCGUGUGACUGCGUACCUUUUGUAUAAUGGGUCAGCGACUUAUAUUCUGUAGCAAGGUUAACCGAAUAGGGGAGCCGAAGG